rnacentral:lncRNA from 1 species
UCGGAGUGGUUGAGCACCGGUAAGAUAAACCCACCGUCGAGGAAAUCGUCGGAGCCGCCGCCCACGGCGGCGCACACCCCGUAGUCACCCUCCUCCAGCUCGAAUAUCGGCGGCCACUGCAGCGGCACGUAGGAGAGCUCCUCGGCGGCCUUCUCGCCGUCGCUGUUGGAGGCCAAGCUGUCGUAGCUGUUACUGCGGGAGAAGGCCGACGACACCCUGAUUGGCUUGGGCAGGUAGACCUUGGUCUUAGGCGGCGGGGUAGGCUCGUCGGCGGCGCUCUCGUCCUUUAACGGCGAGGGAGGGGUGGGCUUCUGCUUGGGCUUCUUCUUCUUGGGCUUGGCGGCGAGGUUGGGGAGGUCUUUGUGAGGGGCGGCGGCGGUCUUGAGCUUCUUGAGGAGGUGUGUGUUCCAGUAGUUCUUGAUCUCAUUGUCAGUUCGACCUGGCAAUCUACCGGCGAUGAGCGACCAGCGGUUGCCGAGGAGGCCGUGCAGCCGCACGAUCAAAUCUUCCUCAUCUUCGCUGAUGUUGCCUCGCUUUAUCCCAGGCCGCAGGUAGUUCAUCCACCUCAGCCUGCAGCUCUUUCCGCACCUCAGUAGUCCUGCAUACCCAAGGAUAAUUACAUUUAUACUCCUCCAGAGAGAGAGAGAGAGAGAGAGAGAGUAAGUUAAUUGUAGUAANACAGAGAGAGAGAGAGAGAGAGAGAGAGAGUAAAUUUGUGAAGUUAAUUACCAGCUUUCUUGGGGAGAGAUCGCCAUUGGCCUUCG